rnacentral:rRNA from 1 species
UACGUAGGGUGCAAGCGUUAAUCGGAAUUACUGGGCGUAAAGCGUGCGCAGGCGGCUUUGCAAGACAGAUGUGAAAUCCCCGGGCUUAACCUGGGAACUGCAUUUGUGACUGCAUGGCUGGAGUGCGGCAGAGGGGGAUGGAAUUCCGCGUGUAGCAGUGAAAUGCGUAGAUAUGCGGAGGAACACCGAUGGCGAAGGCAGUCCCCUGGGCCUGCACUGACGCUCAUGCACGAAAGCGUGGGGAGCAAAAGGG